CAGAGUGAUGAAAUCCAGGAUUUGAAGCCGACUGAGCAGAAAAUGAUGUCGUGUAGGGUCGGCCCGUUGAGUCAGGGA
rfam:Musa acuminata subsp. malaccensis Doubled-haploid Pahang (DH-Pahang) genomic chromosome, chr9